AAAUGGAGAACAGCUGCUCACGCUCGUCGUCUGACAUCAGCUAUUUCUCAGGAUGACCCUGCGAGACAGGCCAGGGUCAUUAGACCCAAUUUGGUUCUCAGCAAAUAUGUGUUUAUUCCUGCAUGCGUGGGCCACAGGCUGGUUUCUUGGGUGCAAUGAAUAGCUGCAGGUUUAUUAGGGUGUCUUUUUAGAUGGAUGUAUGUUUCCCGAUGUCUAUAGAACACUCCGGACCCCGGAGAGUGAAGACUCUGCCUGUCGGACUUGCUUUGAGAAGAUCCUUCUCCACCUCCCCAUGGCAGAAGUUGCUUCACAGAGGGGAACAGUUUUAUGGAUGUGGCUGAGACCUUAAACUUGAGGCAACCCAUCUGAGGUGGCAUCCAGAGGAGACUGGCUGGCCCCUCCUUCACCUUGGAUGUAGUGCUGUUUCUAGGAUCUCUUUUCAAUCAGCAAAACAGGGGAUGUUCCAAGAGGGUGUGGAUUCCCUGCCAUCCCACAUGGUCAAGUGGAGGGGACGGGAAAAAGCUAUGAAGGGUUUGUGACCACACAGACUCUCCUGGCCCCCUGUCCUUUUGGAAAGAAGACAGGGAUGAAAUAUAAUCAAGCAAUUAACCACCCCCAUCAUCACCAAGAACAACAGUAUCAACAAGAAGAACAGGGACAACAAAACCCACGGAUGAAACAUUCCUUUCUCAGCUCAGAUCUUAUCUGGUGCGUUCUCUCUCUGCUCUGUCUUGGUGUGUGGUUUAGAGAAACAUGGACAACGCUGUUUGGAAGAACAGGUGAGCGAGGGUGGGGAAUUUCAGAGGCCUGGGCCCACCGCCUCCACCCCUUCCCCAGUUUAACCUUUGACAGGAUCUUCACCUCUCUCUGAUCAGCAUUGCUUCUUGUUCAAAGGCCUCAGCCACCCAGCUGUGUCCCUUUCCCCAGAAAGCAAGGGCAGAUGGCAGUGGGUCUGUUGAUGAGAGAACUUUAAGGGCCCAAUCAGUCCCUGGGCACCCCCUCCUGGGCUCGUUUUCUCCAGGAGGCUGCAUUCUGAUCCAUAAACCUUCUCCUCGGGGUUUAGGGUCGAGCUGUUCCUGAUGUUUAUCGGAGACUGGGAUCAAAGCUAUCCAGGUCAUAAAUCUCUCUCUGUGGCUGUUGGGCCCCAGGGCAGCUGAAGAGGGUUGACAGCCCUUUGGACCUCAAAGGAAAAAAUGUGCUCUACUCCACCCACUCCCAGCUCUGCCAAGAAGCUGUCCUCUGAGAAGCCAUGGCUGGGCCGUUCCAUUCUGGGGAGCUGCUGAAAAGAGCUGGGAGGCCGAGAAGAACUUGCGUGUGCUGGGGGAGAGGAAGCCUGGCCUUGAGGGAGGGGUGCAGGUGUGGCUCCUCUGUGUGUGGGGGCUGGGGGACCUUGUGUGCCUUUUCCUUGUGGCUGUGAAAUGCUUUAUGAGUACUUCCAUAGGAGGAUGGACAGGGAGUCGGGGAGAUAAACUCAGCCACAAGGCCCCAGGGCCUCAGGAAACUUGCACCCAACCCUCUCAUUUUACAGAAGAAAACUGUGCCUGGAAGGUUGAAGGGUUUGUUCCCAGUCACACAACCAGGGAUCCUUAGGACAGCCAGACCAGGAAACCAUUUCCAAACUGCCAAGCCAUGGCAGAGUAUCAAGACCUCAGGAACCAUCGAGACACCAUGGAAGCAUUGGGAAAAGCCUCCUUAGCUUUUGAAGCUCCUCAUUGUUCUUGAGUGUGCAUGGAGCCCAUGACUGCGGGGUUUUGUAGACACCUCAGGGAUUACAUGACUGGUACCCCUGACAAAGUCAAGGCUGCUGGACAAAAUGAGUCCGAGGAUUUCAGGGGCAGCUGGGCGCAGGAGCUGGUGGGCUGUUGGGAGUGCCCCUUUACUGGGCAGGCUUCCUUCCUCCUGGUGAUGGGGGGUUCCUCAGCACAAAAGUGAAGGGGUGGAGGGGCUGGAGGAGCAGGAAUCUCUCUUGUUGAUAGGUAUGAGGCCUUGAAGUCCUUUUCUUUGUCCCAGGAUUCAUGGACGCUUCGGGGCUGAUCUUUGAGUUUUCAAGCAUGGGGUGCAGAGACGUUUAGGUAAACUCUUACCGUCCUCUCUCUUCGUCAGGGCUUCCCAGGAAUCAACAAUGCCCAAGAAGGAAGGGAUUGUAGAAAUAGCUUAACCCUUUCAUUUACCAACGUGGAAAUUGAAGCCCAGGGAAGGGAAGGGACCGGUCGUGGAAGGGAGAGCCAUCAGCAGAAAGAGACCCUGAGAUCUUCGCCUGGGAUUCCCAGGAAGUCCAGCCCGAGCUGAUUCACAGAACAAAUGCAUGCAAACCUUGCUAUCAAUAAAUUACACAUGCACUUACGUAAAACACAUAAAAA
rnacentral:lncRNA from 1 species